rnacentral:rRNA from 1 species
AGAGUUUGAUCCUGGCUCACGCGAACGCUGGCGGCGUGCCUAAUACAUGCAAGUCGAGCGGAACACUUGGAGCUUGCUCCAAGCGUUUAGCGGCGGACGGGUGAGUAACACGUGGGCAACCUGCCCUGCAGAUCGGGAUAACUCCGGGAAACCGGUGCUAAUACCGAAUAGUUUGGAACCUCUCCUGAGGUUCCACGGAAAGACGGUUUCGGCUGUCACUGCAGGAUGGGCCCGCGGCGCAUUAGCUAGUUGGUGGGGUAAUGGCCCACCAAGGCGACGAUGCGUAGCCGACCUGAGAGGGUGAUCGGCCACACUGGGACUGAGACACGGCCCAGACUCCUACGGGAGGCAGCAGUAGGGAAUCUUCCGCAAUGGACGCAAGUCUGACGGAGCAACGCCGCGUGAGUGACGAAGGUUUUCGGAUCGUAAAACUCUGUUGUGAGGGAAGGACAAGUACCAACUAACUACUGGUACCUUGACGGUACCUCACCAGAAAGCCACGGCUAACUACGUG